UACGAAGGGGGCUAGCGUUGUUCGGAAUCACUGGGCGUAAAGGGCGCGUAGGCGGCCUUGUAAGUCGGGGGUGAAAGCCUGUGGCUCAACCACAGAAUUGCCUUCGAUACUGCAGGGCUUGAGACCGGAAGAGGUGAGUGGAACUGCGAGUGUAGAGGUGAAAUUCGUAGAUAUUCGCAAGAACACCAGUGGCGAAGGCGGCUCACUGGUCCGGGUCUGACGCUGAGGCGCGAAAGCGUGGGGAGCAAACAGG
rnacentral:rRNA from 1 species